AUGUAUUUGGACAUUUUGGUUGCAAAUUGUAGAAGUUGAGAUGAUUUUUUAAUAGGAAAAAUGGAGAUAAUUCAGUAUUCAGGUAACUGGAAGUAAUACUGCCAUCUAUGACAAAUCGAAAAGAAGGGCUUCAGGAACUGGGUCUGAGAGAAGAGAUCUGGAGAUCACAGGCCUGGACUCUUUCUCUCUGCCUGCCCUCAAGUUCUCUGUGCAUGGUCACUCUCCACUGAUCUCUUUGUUGCAGGGAUCCUGUCCUCUGGCAGUCCCAAUUCAGUAGCCCAGCUGGAAACAGACAACUUCUUUUCCUCUAAACAUUCAUUUAACGACUCAGGGAAGGGCUAUGAUGGGCUCUGCUUUGCCACCAGCCUUGAUCCAUGGCUGUUCUCAUCCCAUUUCUGUGACCCAAGGACCAGGGUCUGCUUUGAGAAGAAGAAUGGAAAGCCUUUUGAGUGGACACAAUCCAUAGCAGUCUCAGUUAACUUUACUUGCCAUCAGUGAAUAUAAUUAACAAUCAAUAUUUUAUUUCUAGUUCAUGUCUAUUUAUAGUUUCACAAUUGUUAUCUUACCCUUUACAAACAUUGAUUUGGAAGGCAGGUUUGAGGUAUUUAAAAGAAAGGUUUUGAAGCAUUUGUCAAGUGGUCUCUGACCUACAGAACAGGGAGCCAUUCUUAAUUAACCAUGAAAAUAUUUAUGUCAGCUUUCAGUGGAUUUCAUUUAAGUAUUAAUAUUUCAAGAAAAAAAUGUUGUAAAAGAAGUGACCUAAUGCUAUAGGUAUAGCCCAAAUAAGAGACAUUGUAUGGAUUAAGACUGUACUGUAGCAACCUUUAUGAUUAAGCUUUUUUCCCUUUGAAGUAUGAGCUUUUAAACAUUUAGGGAAAUUCUUUUUAAAAAUUCAAAUCUAGAUAGCCUCUUGUCAAAAGAGAAAAGAUGCAUAAUUCUAAGGAUUUUCUGAGCAUGGCAUCAAUCAUGACGAUUGAAUUUGGCUUACUAAUUUUCCUGCCUCUGUGAAGGAACUAGAACUAACAUUCUCUUUAAAUGGAAAGCAGACAUACAAAGACCUUAAUUUUCUCUUUUCAUGCAGUGUAUGCUAUAAAGAAAUCAUUAAACAAAGUAUAAAACUCCUUCCAAAUCAAAAGACACAGAAAUUUCAUUAUCUUGUUUUUCUCUUUCCCUUUCUGCAGUGUUAUUGCAAGGGCUCCACCUGAUGGGUUAGCUUAGCCAAGAGAAAAUCAACUACACACUGAUCUCAUGUCCCUAAAUUACCACCCAAUAAGAGGAGGAAGAGAGAAAAAUAAAAGCUGGCUUCCAUUUGCCCAGCCUUCUGGUUCAUCGACCUGGGAACACAGACUGCAUUGGCUGCUCAUUUACAGGGCUGCAUUGAUGGCUUCUCCCCAGGAGGGAACCAUGGAGAGAAUCAUUCACCCUCAAACUCCUCUGAUACUUGGUGCCUGAGGAAGCAAAAGCAGAUAAAGAAAUUGGAAUGAGACUUGCCUGAGAGGAACUUUGAAUCAUUUCAGAGAGGAAUGAAAUCUCAAAUUUUAAAACCUAAUUUAAUAAACAUACAUCUUUGCAAAAUAACAUUGUGCAUAUCAGCAGCGUUUCUAUCUCCAACUGAAAAUGGAAGCAAAGUUUUCCAUGACUGGGAAAUCCUCUUGAUAUUGAGACAACUGGAAAUAAGAGUUAAUCCAUCUAAUAUUUUUCUUCUAU
rnacentral:lncRNA from 1 species